rnacentral:rRNA from 1 species
GCGCGAAAACUUUACAAUGCUGGCAACAGCGAUAAGGGAACCUCGAGUGCCAGGUUACAAAUCUGGCUGUCGAGAUGCCUAAAAAGCAUUUCAUAGCACGGGCCGGGCAAGACCGGUGCCAGCCGCCGCGGUAACACCGGCGGCUCGAGUGGUCACCGUUAUUAUUGGGUCUAAAGGGUCUGUAGCCGGCCGGAUAAGUCUCUUGAGAAAUCUGGCAGCUUAACUGUCAGGCUUUCAGGAGAUACUGUCUGGCUCGAGGCCGGGAGAGGUGAGAGGAACUUCAGGGGUAGGGGUGAAAUCUGGUAAUCCUGGAAGGACCACCAGUGGCGAAGGCGUCUCACCAGAACGGACCUGACGGCAAGGGACGAAAGCUAGGGGCACGAACC